rnacentral:misc_RNA from 1 species
UCCCAGUUAACCUGGGCAGUCUCACUAGAGUCCCCACCUUGCGUGUUGGCAACUAAUGAUAAGGGUUGCGCUCGUUGCGGGACUUAACCCAACACCUCACGGCACGAGCUGACGACAGCCAUGCAGCACCUACAUAGCAGCCCUUGCGGGAAAUACCAUCUCUGGUAUCGUCUCCUAUAUUUCAAACCUGGGUAAGGUUCUUCGCGUUGCAUCGAAUUAAACCACAUUCUCCACUGCUUGUGCGGGCCCCCGUCAAUUCUUUUGAGUUUCACCCUUGCGAGCGUACUCCUCAGGCGGUAUACUUAUCGCGUUAGCUUCGACACAGUCAGGGUUGAGCCUAACUACAUCAAGUAUACAUCGUUUACGGCAAGGACUAC